UGGAGCUGGCAGACUCUCCCAGAGCAAGCAUUCCGGAAGGGGCAGUUCUGAGGCAGCGUGCAGGGAGGGGGCGGUCUGGGCGCUGCAGGGCACUGGCUGGGAUGUGAAAGGGCGUGAGCUAGCGGGUGGAUCGGAUCGGGUACCAGGGAAGGUCCCUGGCCCUGUACGUGCGUGGGCUGUUAUGUGAGGGGCGGAGUGGGGACGGGACCACGGGGAGAAGCCGGAGCCUGAGGCCCCUAAGCUACCAGCCCCAGCAACGGUUUGAAGGCUGUUUUGGAGUGGGUGGGAGGGCAGUUACAGCCGACCCUUCUGAGGACCCACAUUCCCCUUUCUCCUCUCAGGGACAUGGGCCUGGGUGAGCUCCCGGGUGCUCGUCCCAGAUGCUCUCUCCCCAUCCCUUCUCAAAACCUGGGCCUCUCUUCUCUCUGCGCUCCUGCCGACACCCUCCCACCCCCCGCCACCCUGAACCCCGGCUGUGAGGGGCACAGUCUGAUGACCCAGGGUUGCUCCUUUUAGAGCCCCUCUCUGCCCCUGGGCUCCCUCCCGGCCUGGAACUCCUUGGAUUCCCAGUCUGUAAGGCAAGGCUCAGGCUCUGGCUGGAGUCUGGCAUUGGUAUAGAGUCCACUGUUGGCCCUGCCGCCACCCCUCAGGCUGAAUGAAAGGCAUGUGGAUGAGAAAGGAGCCUUUGACAGGGACAACAACAAACGCGCCAGGUCUGGAAGGAACAGCUGGAAUAUGAGCUGAGCCCAUCACUUCUAAUAACAGGGAUCAGAGCAGACACCACCUGUGACUCUGAAGGACAAGAUGGAUUCUAUUUAGGGUUGUUUGUAGGAUCAGUGACCCCACAACUUCAAGAGGGGCACGGUUACUGGACCGCUUCCUGGACUCUGGGCUCGUAAGUGUCAAAAGCCUGCAGCAAUACUUAAGUUGACGAACGCUUAAGAUACAGCUAUAAUAAGGAAUAUAAGAGUUUUGAAUUCUUUAUACAUUGAAGUCCUAUACAUAUAAGACCUUUUUUUUUGGUAUCAUUAAUGUACAGUUAUAUGAGCAGCAUUAUGGUUACUAGACUCCCUCCAUUAUCAAGUCCCCACCACUUGUCUUCUCUGUGUUGUGCUGCCUUCCCUGUGCCCCCCCUACUUCAUGUGUGCUGAUCAUAAUGCCUCCUUCUCCCCCUUAUCCCUCCCUUCCCACCCAUCCCCCACAGACCCUUUCCCUUUGGUAACUGUUAGUCCGUUCUUGGGUUCUGUGAGUCGGCUACUGUUUUGUUCCUUCAGUUUUUUCUUUUUUCCUUUUUUUAUUUUUUAUUUUGAUAUCAUUAAUCUACAAUUACAUGAAGAACAUUAUGUUUACUAGGCUCCCUCUUUCACCAAGUCCCCCCCGCACACCCCAUUACAGUCACUGUCCAUCAGCGUAGUAAGAUGCUGUAGAAUCACUACUUGUCUUCUCUGUGUUGCACAGCCCUCCCCAUGCCCCCCCUACAUUAUA